rnacentral:rRNA from 1 species
ACUGGCCAGAGACCGAUAGCGCACAAGUAGAGUGAUCGAAAGAUGAAAAGCACUUUGGAAAGAGAGUCAAAUAGCACGUGAAAUUGUUGAAAGGGAAGCGCUUGCAGCCAGACUUGCCUGUAGUUGCUCAUCCGGGCUUUUGCCCGGUGCACUCUUCUACAGGCAGGCCAGCAUCAGUUUGGGCGGUUGGAUAAAGGUCUCUGUCACGUUCCUCUCUUCGGGGAGGCCAUAUAGGGGAGACGACAUACAACCAGCCUGGACUGAGGUCCGCGCAUUUGCUAGGAUGCUGGCGUAAUGGCUGUAAGCGGCCCGUCUUGAAACACGGACCAAGGAGUCUAACAUCUAUGCGAGUGUUUGGGUGUCAAGCCCGAACGCGUAAUGAAAGUGAACGGAGGUGGGAACCCUUGGGUGCACCAUCGACCGAUCCUGAUGUCUUCGGAAGGAUUUGAGUAAGAGCAUGGCUGUUGGGACCCGAAAGAUGGUGAACUAUGCUUGAAUAGGGU